GUCAGAAGGGGAAGCUCUUGGAGAGAGACUAGAGGCUUGGAGGGUGGUGAAAGAAUCGGUUGGAUCAAGAAAAGACACCGACAAUGGAUUCGCUGAAGCUACGGAGAGGAAAAACGAGUGAAUGGGUGACAGAACCUGACGCAGAGGGUGAGAAAGGGCGACUCUCAGAUUUGGUAAAGGGAGAAAGGAUCGACUUAAAAAUACAAGAUUUCCCCAUCUUGGAAAUAAAAUACCAUUGCAACAUGGACUGCUGAAAACAGACGAUACAAGCCUGAGGAUUUGCAUCACCUGUUUAAAUUCUGUGCGUUUGCCAUGUCUGUAUGCCGUUGCCGAUCAUGCCCCUGAGGUUUGGUGAUAGUUCUUGUUUUGCUUUGUAAAUCAGUUAUUUUUACUUUUUCGACCGAUUACGUGGUGUUUUACUUUACCGUUACCAUUUUGGAACCAUUAUUAAUGACCGCGCCGCAGAUCCUCCUCUAUCGUGUCUUUUGGGUGACAGUACGGAAUAAUUCUGCCCACAAAUAUAAAAGUGGAGAGAUCAUCUGCCUGGUCCACAUCACCCCUAAUCAUACACACAAGGCCAUUAUUACUAUCUGCUUAAUCUUGAAAGGAAGUCCAUUACUAUCUUUGGUUAUCUAGCUGUAUGAGUGUUAAUCAGCCGUCAUAAAGCUAGAUAACCGAAAGUAGAAAUGUCUUCCAAAUACUACAACUUCAUCAAGACGGAGAGACAACAUAAAGAAACUAGAAAUCUGGAAAUAAUCAUUUUAAACGAAUUUAGACAGCAGGCAUGCCACUGCAGGAAACCAGUGACUCGCACGUUUCCGCAGGGUGGAUCUGGCUUAUCUGUUGGAUGACUUUAGACAAGGAGACCGCAACAUGGACUGGGGCUGUGAUAAGCGACUGGCCGCUAUUCCCACCAUGUCUUGAUGGCAUAAUCAUCAAAAAAAUAAAGGAGCAAAAAUGAAUGGCAAGGCCACGUCCCCCCCCCCCCUUGAGCUUAACC